rnacentral:rRNA from 1 species
CUAACACGUAGUCAACCCCCCCUCAGGACCUGUCUAACCUCGGGAAACUGAGGAUAAACCCCCCUACGCCACUACUUCUGGAAUGUCUAAUGACUCAAACUAUAUGGCCCCUGGAUUGGACUGCGGCCGAUCAUGCUGUUGGUGAGGUAAUGGCCCACCAAACCUGUAACCGGUACGGGCUCUGAGAGGAGGAGCCCGGAGAUGGGCACUGAGACAAGGGCCCAGGCCCUAUGGGGCGCAGCAGGCGCGAAACCUCUGCAAUAGGCGAAAGCCUGACAGGGUUACUCUGAGUGAUCUCCGUUAAGGAGAUCUUUUGGCACCUCUAAAAAUGGUGCAGAAUAAUGGGUGGGCAAGUCUGGUGUCAGCCGCCGCGGUAAUACCAGCACCCCGAGUGGUCGGGACGUUUAUUGGGCCUAAAGCAUCCGUAGCCGGUUCUACAAGUCUUCCGUUAAAUCCAACUGCUUAACAGAUGGGCUGCGGAACAUACUAUGAGACU